rnacentral:lncRNA from 1 species
GAUGCCUCAGCACUUUGCACCAUUUUCUUGUUCUUCUUUCCUUUCUUAAAGGAUCGAUGUCCAGGAGAAGACCCUCCCAUAAUAUUCACGAAUUUUUUUUGGAGCUGAUGAUCCUUCUCAAAGUAUUGUAAUAAGCCCAGCAAACUAUGGUAGUUAACUGUAGGCUUUGUCAUUCAAAAAUGAGUAAGAAAAGGGAGGUAGGACUUGGGC